UACGUAGGUGGCAAGCGUUGUCCGGAUUUACUGGGCGUAAAGAGCGCGCAGGCGGUCGUCCAAGUCGCGUGUGAAAGCCCCCGGCUCAACUGGGGAGGGUCACGCGAUACUGAUCGACUCGAAGGCAGGAGAGGGAAGCGGAAUUCCCGGUGUAGUGGUGAAAUGCGUAGAUAUCGGGAGGAACACCAGUGGCGAAGGCGGCUUCCUGGCCUGUUCUUGACGCUGAGGCGCGAAAGCUAGGGUAGCAAACGGG
rnacentral:rRNA from 1 species